rnacentral:sRNA from 2 species
UUUUUGCGUUAGCGGUAGUAGCGGCAUCCUUUUUUUACUUCUUUUUCAAGUAAAAAAAGAUAUAGCGAAUAACGCGUUGCUUU